CUGAAGUUACAGAGUUUUGUGGUGGUGCUGGUGGUGAAGUUAUAGUUUGUUCUGGUGGUGGUGAAGUUAAAGGCUGUUCUGGUGGUGGUGUAGCUAUAGGCUGUUCUGGUGGUGGUGUAGCUAUAGGCUGUUCCGGUGGUGGUGUAGCUAUAGGCUGUUCCGGUGGUGGUGUAGCUAUAGGCUGUUCCGGUGGUGGUGUAGCUAUAGGCUGUUCUGGUGGUGGUGAUGUUAUAGAUUGCUCUGGUGGUGGUACAGGUUUUGAUGGUUUCGGUGGUGGUGAAGCUCUAGAUUGUGGUGGUGGUGUUGCAGCUACAGAUUGU
rnacentral:lncRNA from 1 species